AAAGCACUGAAAAUGCUAAGAUGUGUCUUUAAGACUCCAUGAACA
rnacentral:tRNA from 1 species